UAGAAGCUGGGAUCGGACGGUGCCCCGGCGACGGGGUGAAAAGGGAAUGCGGUGAGGGGCGAGCGCCUUGAAACCGCGGCUGCCCCCGCAACUGUGAGCGGCGACGGGCCUGCCAUCGGCCACUGGAGCGAUCCGGGAAGGCGGCAGGAACCGGACGACCCGCGAGCCAGGAGACCUGCCGUCCGGCACCGGGGACU
rnacentral:ncRNA from 2 species